CAAGUGACCCCGGUCUAACCACCGGGAUGUUCAUAACCCUUUGCUGUCCAACUCUGUUGCCUCCGGGGCGACCCUGCCUUCGGGCGGGGGCUCCGGGUGGACACUUCAAACUCUUGCGUAACUUUGCAGUCUGAGUAAACUUAAUUAAUAAAUUA
rnacentral:misc_RNA from 1 species